GCCGAGCACUGCAGCAUGUGCCUGUAGUCCCAGCUACUCGGGAGGCUGAGGUGGGAGGAUGGCUUGAGCCCAGGAGUUCUGAGCUGUAGUGCGCGCUAUGCGGAUCGGGUGUCCGCACUAAGUUCGGCAUCAAUAUGGUGACCUCCUGGGAGCGGGGGACCACCAGGUUAUCUAAGGAGGGGUGAACCGGCCCAGGUCGGAAAUGGAGCAGGUCAAAACUCCCGUGCUGAUCAGUAGUGGGAUUGCACCUGUGAAUAGCCACUGCACUCCAGCCUGGGCAACAUAGGAAGACCCCAUCUCUU
ensembl:misc_RNA Metazoa_SRP Metazoan signal recognition particle RNA